CUCGUAGGCGGUUCAGUAAGUCGGCUGUGAAAGUCCGGGGCUCAACCCCGGAAAUGCAGUCGAUACUGCUGUGACUAGAAUCAGGUAGAGGAGAAUGGAAUUCCCGGUGUAGCGGUGGAAUGCGCAGAUAUCGGGAGGAACACCAGUAGCGAAGGCGGUUCUCUGGGCCUGUAUUGACGCUGAGGAGCGAAAGCGUGGGGAGCAAACA
rnacentral:rRNA from 1 species